rnacentral:rRNA from 1 species
AUUAAUUAUAUUAUAUUGUUUUUUUGUAUAUCUAAUUAUUUAAUAUAAGUAAUUUUAUUGUUUUUUGUCUAAGUAUAUUUUAUAGAAUUGAUUUUUAAAAUUAUAGCUUAUUGGUAAUGUAAGUGUUUUAUGUAAUAUUUUUUUAAAUUUUAAAAAGUAGAUUUUAUUUGUUGUACCUUUUGUAUCAGGGUUUAUCAAAAUUUUGGUAUUUAUUUACUUAUCUCGAUUUGGGUUGAUUUAUAAAUAAUUUAUAGUUAAUGUUUCAUAAUUAUUAUAAAAUUAUUUAUAGAAAUGAUAUGUUAUUCGUUUCCUAAGAUAUCUAGUUUCUUAAGAAAAAAUUUAAUUUUUUGAAGUUGAUUGGUUUUAUUUAAUUUUUUAAUUAUAAAUAUCAACUUAUUUAUACUUUAAGGGAUAAGCUUUAAAGUUAAUUAUCCUAUAAUUUUCUUUUUUAAAUAUAAUAGUAGGCUACAAACCAGCUAUCUUUAAGACUACGUUUUAGUUCAUUAUUUUUUAUUUUGAUUUUUUAAAACUUUUAGGGUUUUUAUUAAGGUUCUUGAUUUAAUUUAUUAAUCUUUGUAAUAAUGAUAGAAUUAGUAUAUUUAUUUAUCUAAAAUUUUUUUUUCUUUUAAUUUAUUAUAAGGAAUUAGGCAAAAUUGAUUUCGCCUUGUUUAUCAAAAAACAAUGUCCUUCUUGAAGAAUAUUUUGGAGGUCUGGCCUGCUCACUGAGCGAUUUUUAAAAGAGCCGCGGUAUUUUGACCGUGCAAAAGGUAGCAUAAUCAUUAGUCUCUUAAUUGGUGGCUGGAAUGAAUGGCUUGACGAGAAAUCUACUGUCUCUUAAUAAUUUUUUGAAUUUAACUUUUAAGUCAAAAGGCUUAAAUUUAUCUUUAGGACGAGAAGACCCUAUAGAGCUUAACAUUUUACUUUUAUAUAGUUUUUGGUUAGUCUUUCUGUAUUUAAUUAUAAUGUUUUGUUGGGGUGACAUAAAGAAUAAAUAAACUCUUUAUUAUUAUAUCAUUGAUUUAUGUUUGUUGUUUUGAUCCAUAAUUUAUGAUCAUAAGAUUAAGUUACCUUAGGGAUAACAGCGUAAUUGUUUUCGAGAGCUCAUAUCGACAAAGCAGAUUGCGACCUCGAUGUUGGAUUAAGAAAAAAUUUGGGUGCAGGAGCCCAUUAUUUAGGUCUGUUCGACCUUUAAAUUCUUACAUGAUCUGAGUUCAGACCGGCGUGAGCCAGGUCGGUUUCUAUCCUAAGAUUAUUAAUUCAUAUUAGUACGAAAGGACCAUAUGGUUAAAAUAUUUUUUAUAUUACUGAUUAAUAUUAAUUAAUUU